AUUGAACGCUGGCGGCAUGCCUUACACAUGCAAGUCGAACGGCAGCACGGGAGCAAUCCUGGUGGCGAGUGGCGAACGGGUGAGUAAGUACAUCGGAACGUGCCCAGUAGUGGGGGAUAGCCCGGCGAAAGCCGGAUUAAUACCGCAUACGACCUACGGGUGAAAGCGGGGAUCGCAAGACCUCGCGCUAUCGGAGCGGC
rnacentral:rRNA from 1 species